rnacentral:rRNA from 1 species
AGAGUUUGAUCCUGGCUCAGGACGAACGCUGGCGGCGUGCUUAACACAUGCAAGUCGAGCGAUGAAGCUUCCUUCGGGAAGUGGAUUAGCGGCGGACGGGUGAGUAACACGUGGGUAACCUGCCUCAAAGUGGGGGAUAGCCUUCCGAAAGGAAGAUUAAUACCGCAUAAUAUGAGAGAAUCGCAUGAUUUUCUUAUCAAAGAUUUAUUGCUUUGAGAUGGACCCGCGGCGCAUUAGCUAGUUGGUAAGGUAACGGCUUACCAAGGCAACGAUGCGUAGCCGACCUGAGAGGGUGAUCGGCCACAUUGGAACUGAGACACGGUCCAGACUCCUACGGGAGGCAGCAGUGGGGAAUAUUGCGCAAUGGGGGAAACCCUGACGCAGCAACGCCGCGUGGGUGAUGAAGGUCUUCGGAUUGUAAAACCCUGUUUUCUAGGACGAUAAUGACGGUACUAGAGGAGGAGCCACGGCUAACUACGUGCCAGCAGCCGCGGUAAUACGUAGUGGCGAGCGUUGUCCGGAUUUACUGGGCGUAAAGGUGCGUAGCGAUGUUUAAGUGGGAUGUGAAAUCCCCGGGCUUAACCUGGGGGCUGCAUUCCAAACUGGAUAUCUAGAGUGCAGGAGAGGAAAGCGGAAUUCCUAGUGUAGCGGUGAAAUGCGUAGAGAUUAGGAAGAACACCAGUGGCGAAGGCGGCUUUCUGGACUGUAACUGACGCUGAGGCACGAAAGCGUGGGUAGCAAACAGGAUUAGAUACCCUGGUAGUCCACGCCGUAAACGAUGGAUACUAGGUGUAGGGGGUAUCAACUCCCCCUGUGCCGCAGUUAACACAAUAAGUAUCCCGCCUGGGGAGUACGGUCGCAAGAUUAAAACUCAAAGGAAUUGACGGGGGCCCGCACAAGCAGCGGAGCAUGUGGUUUAAUUCGAAGCAACGCGAAGAACCUUACCUGGACUUGACAUCCCUUGCAUAGCCUAGAGAUAGGUGAAGCCCUUCGGGGCAAGGAGACAGGUGGUGCAUGGUUGUCGUCAGCUCGUGUCGUGAGAUGUUAGGUUAAGUCCUGCAACGAGCGCAACCCUUGUUAUUAGUUGCUACCAUUAAGUUGAGCACUCUAAUGAGACUGCCUGGGUAACCAGGAGGAAGGUGGGGAUGACGUCAAAUCAUCAUGCCCCUUAUGUCCAGGGCUACACACGUGCUACAAUGGUAGGUACAAUAAGACGCAAGACCGUGAGGUGGAGCAAAACUUAUAAAACCUAUCUCAGUUCGGAUUGUAGGCUGCAACUCGCCUACAUGAAGCUGGAGUUGCUAGUAAUCGCGAAUCAGAAUGUCGCGGUGAAUACGUUCCCGGGCCUUGUACACACCGCCCGUCACACCAUGAGAGCUGGUAACACCCGAAGUCCGUGAGGUAACCGUAAGGAACCAGCGGCCGAAGGUGGGAUUAGUGAUUGGGGUGAAGUCGUAACAAGGUAGCCGUAGGAGAACCUGCGGCUG